UGCCAGCAGCCGCGGUAACACGGGGGGCGCAAGCGUUAUUCGGAAUUAUUGGGCGUAAAGGGCGCGCAGGCGGUCUUGUCCGUCAGGUGUGAAAGCUCGGGGCUCAACCUGUAAAUUGCCUCUGAAACUGUAUGGCUUGAGUUCUGCAGGGGAAAGUGGAAUUCAUGGUGUAGCGGUGAAAUGCGUAGAUAUCAUGGAGAACACCUAUGGCGAAGGCAGCUUUCUGGGCAGAAACUGACGCUGAGGCGCGAAAGCUAGGGUAGCGAACAGGAUUAGAUA
rnacentral:rRNA from 1 species